AACGAACGCUGGCGGCGUGGAUAAGACAUGCAAGUCGAACGAGACUUUCAGCUGUAGCAAUACAGUUGAAAGUUUAGUGGCGAACGGGUGCGUAACACGUGGGCAAUCUGCCGAGAAGUGGGGGAUAGCUCGCCGAAAGGCGAAUUAAUACCGCAUAUGAUCAGGGACGACAUCUUCCCAACAUCAAAGCCGGGGCAACCUGGCGCUUCUUGAUGAGCCCCGCGGCCUAUCAGCUAGUUGGUGAGGUAACGGCUCACCAAGGCAUUGACGGGUAGCUGGUCUGAGAGGACGACCAGUCACACUGGAACUGAGACACGGUCCAGACACCUACGGGUGGCAGCAGUCGAGUAAUUUUUCUU
rnacentral:rRNA from 1 species